GAUGAACGCUGGCGGCGUGCCUAAUACAUGCAAGUCGAGCGAACAGACGAGGAGCUUGCUCCUCUGACGUUAGCGGCGGACGGGUGAGUAACACGUGGAUAACCUACCUAUAAGACUGGGAUAACUUCGGGAAACCGGAGCUAAUACCGGAUAAUAUAUUGAACCGCAUGGUUCAAUAGUGAAAGACGGUUUUGCUGUCACUUAUAGAUGGAUCCGCGCCGCAUUAGCUAGUUGGUAAGGUAACGGCUUACCAAGGCGACGAUGCGUAGCCGACCUGAGAGGGUGAUCGGCCACACUGGAACUGAGACACGGUCCAGACUCCUACGGGAGGCAGCAGUAGGGAAUCUUCCGCAAGGGGCGAAAGCCUGACGGAGCACCGCCGCGUGAGUGAUGAAGGUCUUCGGAUCGUAAAACUCUGUUAUUAGGGAAGAACAAAUGUGUAAGUAACUAUGCACGUCUUGACGGUACCUAAUCAGAAAGCCACGGCUAACUACGUG
rnacentral:rRNA from 1 species